rnacentral:rRNA from 1 species
GAUGAACGCUGGCGGCGUGCCUAAUACAUGCAAGUCGAGCGAACAGACGAGGAGCUUGCUCCUCUGACGUUAGCGGCGGACGGGUGAGUAACACGUGGAUAACCUACCUAUAAGACUGGGAUAACUUCGGGAAACCGGAGCUAAUACCGGAUAAUAUAUUGAACCGCAUGGUUCAAUAGUGAAAGACGGUUUUGCUGUCACUUAUAGAUGGAUCCGCGCCGCAUUAGCUAGUUGGUAAGGUAACGGCUUACCAAGGCAACGAUGCGUAGCCGACCUGAGAGGGUGAUCGGCCACACGGGAACAGAGACACGGUCCAGACUACUACGGGAGGCAGCAGUAGGGAAUCUUCCACAAUGGGCGAAAGCCUGACGGAGCAACGCCGCGUGAGUGAUGAAGGUCUUCGGAUCGUAAAACUCUGUUAUUAGGGAAGAACAAAUGUGUAAGUAAAUAUGCACGUCUUGACGGUACCUAAUCAGAAAACCACGGCUAACUACGUG